AAAAAAGCAGUGCCACUUCUGACGAGUAAGAGAAAAGAAGGCAUAGGGAAACAUCCCGGGUGCAAAUGAGUGGAGUGUAUUCAUCAGGCCAGGUGUUUAUCCUGGCACAGAGAGAGGGGAGGAGAGGAGCUCUCAGGGAGGGAGCAUCACAGUGCACACACUACAGAUAGCAGGGAGAGGAGAAGACACUCACCCUUCUAUUCUACUUUUCCACUCCUUCUCUCAAGGCAACAGCCCAGAGUCCUUACCUCAACAAAGAUAAACAGAACAGCCUGGCCAGAGUGGCUGCCUGGCCUGCCUGACAACCUAUGGACCGAGGGCCAAGGACCCGGUUGUCCCUCUGGAUGUCACCCUGCUACAGCAGUGUGGCAUCCUCAAAUCACUGGGACCAAACAGAGGAGAGAGAUUCUAAACACAGACAAACGUGUCUGUCUCAYCCAGCCUAUGCCUUCCCAGCAAUCUAAAACAGAAGCAACCACCACCACAAUGAUUCAAAUAACCCAGGCAGCAAAGACAAGCCCAGGGAUGAUCAUUUUAUGACAGUUAUGAUGGCAAGGUCUGUACUGCAAUUAUGAUGGAAAAAAUUAUUGGGCAAAAUAAUACAUUCCAUAAAUCUAACACAGAGUGCUGUAAAUCAUUGGGCUUUGUAAGAAUAAAAUAUAUAUUUAUCUGUAUCUGUCAAUUAUAGGAUUUAAACAUCCA